GGAUCCUCAUGACUAGCCACUCCGUCUCUGUUUCUACAAGAGGAAACUUUCUUUCUUUGUUCCCCAGGGAGGAAAACCCAUUGCCUGGAAUCAGUGGCAGAGCCGGGACUGGAUUCUAAGUGUCCCGAUUCUAAAUCCAAAGCUUUUCCUUCCUGCACCACGCUGUUCCCUAGGAACACUCCUUCCUGCUCCGCAUGCCUCCAAGGCCGAGGAAGGCCACAAAGGCAGAGAGGGAACCCAGAGCCAGGAGAGCUGGGGUCUGGAUUUGAAACAGAAGUGGGCAGAACCAGGGGUCUACUGAGGCAGGAAAGAUCCCAAGAGGCCUGAGAUGGAACCACCAAAGGAAUACAAGAAAGGUGCCAGCAACAGCACAGGCAAAGAUGCAAGGAGUGGCAAGGCCCAGGGGCGAGAAGGAGGGCAGAAGAAUCUCACUAUUUUAUUGGAUCGUCACAAUAACCUGCAUGAGCAGCAACUCCUCAGCACAAAACAUUUGUCUCUGGGCAAGAGCAGGAGCAUUAACCGUGUGUGUGCCAUCGCCAGGCCCAGACAGUCCCUGCAGCCACGUGCAGCCAGUGAUCGGGACCAGGGGCAGCUGGAGAAGGGAAGAGAAAUGAGCCCGGUUCCCUCAGCUUCACUGUGUGCCCAUCAUGUGCCAGGUGCUGUUCAUACAUUGCCUCUUUAGUCCUCACUAUAACCCAAUAGGGUGAGAACUAUUAGUGUCUUCAUUUUACAAAUGCAGAAACCAAGGAAGGUGAAGUGACUUGCCCACUUAGUUGGUGCCAGAGCGGGUAUUUGAACAUUGUCUGACUCCAAAGUCCG
rnacentral:lncRNA from 1 species